AUGUCUGGAAGCUGUGGUCCAAGGCCAUUUUUGCUGGCUAUAAGCAGGGUCUCCGGAACAGAGAGCACACAACUUUCCUUAAAAUUGACGGUGUUUAUGCCCGAGAUGAAACAGAAUUCUAUUUGGGCAAGAGAUGUGCUUAUGUAUACAAAGCAAAGAACAACAAAGUGACUCCUGGCGGCAAUCAAACAAAACCAGAGUAAUCUGGGGAAAGGUAACUCUGGCCCACAGAAACAGUGGCAUGGCUUGUGCCAAAUUCCGAAGCAAUCUUCCUGCUAAGGCUAUUGGACACAGAAUCCAAGUGAUGCUGUACCCUCAUGCUGUACCCCUCAAGGAUUUAA
rnacentral:lncRNA from 1 species